GGCUGAGAGAUCAGCUGUUCCCUUCGGGGACAGAAUGACAGGUGGUGCAUGGUUGUCGUCAGCUCGUGUCGUGAGAUGUUGGGUUAAGUCCCGCAACGAGCGCAACCCUUAUGAUCAGUUGCCAGCAUUCAGUUGGGCACUCUGGUCAGACUGCCGGUGACAAACCGGAGGAAGGCGGGGAUGACGUCAAAUCAUCAUACCCCUUAUGACCUGGGCUACACACGUGCUACAAUGGGUGGUACAACGAGCAGCGAGACCGCGAGGUCAAGCGAAUCUCUAAAAACCAUCCUCAGUUCGGAUUGCAGGCUGCAACUCGCCUGCAUGAAGCUGGAAUCGCUAGUAAUCGCGGAUCAGCACGCCGCGGUGAAUACGUUCCCGGGUCUUGUACACACCGA
rnacentral:rRNA from 1 species